rnacentral:SRP_RNA from 1 species
CUGUGCUAAGUGGGGAGUUAGCGGCACCCUGUACCUGCAAUCCGCUAUAGCAGGACCGAAUGCCUUUUUAGACGAAACAAAUGGAAAGCCGCGCCUUAUAAGGGGUGUUGAUAGCAAGGUCUUAUGCAACCGGCAACUGCGAACCGUGUCAGGACAGGGAUGUAGCAGCACUAAACAGUCCCGCCGGUGUGCCAUGAGGUAGCUUUGGAGGAGCCACCUGUAAGGUUUACGUUUCGGUUUGUUUCGGCGACGAAGGCUGCACAG